CCGAUUGUGAUCUUGUGAUGUACAAUCAUUCAUGGUGAAGUAAAUGUGUUCAUGUUCUUAGCGAUCUAAGUAUCUUCUUUGAUGGUUUUAUGCUUAUUUGGGUUUGCUUGCUUUUCAUUCUAUGUAUCGAUGAUAGAUUUCCUAGGAUGAUCUUGUGGUCGUGGUGACCAGAUUUGCAUGCAUGAUCUACCAAUGGGUAUGAUAUGUUGUUAUGAUCAUGCCUUUAACUUGCUUGCGGUGAUAGAGGUGAUCAUGACAGAAUCUUUCUUGUGUAAGGUGCAGGAGUUUCUGGAUCCGGACUGGAGGUGUAGAUUGAAAGAUGAUUUUUACUAAGAUCAUAUCUGUAUUGCUUUGCUAUCCAUGCUCAAAAUUAUAAUAUAUGCAUAGUCUAGGUUGCUAUAGAUUUGUUACCUUUGCUCUCUCUGUUAUCUGUCUGUACAUACUUAGUAGAUUGGAUCUAAAUCUCUCGUAAACACCAAGUUAAUACUAACAAUGCUAGUUGAUAUAGAUCUUGUGCUAUAAGUUCCACGGAUUGAUGAAUCUUGGGGGAAUACUCUGAGGGAAGAGCUACAACUGAUCUGUACGCUUGCGGUUUAAUCCUUGGCGUGCUAAUAGCCGUCAACAACCUUCCAGUCAAAAAAUUAGAUGACUUUUUAGACAACGAAACUGAAGUUAUGGCUAGUUACAAUCUUGUACUAAAACGAUAUUGAGUCAUUUAGGAUCCAUAUAUAUUUUGACCCAGUAGCCCAUUAUAUGCUGUUGCAGAACAUGUCGUCAACGGUGGGAUCUUCUCCCUCUCGUGUCUCUCAUGACAAACACAAGAACAAAGUACAUAAGUAGACAAUAUAGAUGGAGCUUCUCCUUAUUUCUCAUAUCGAUGUCUUACAAUAAGGGGUGCUCCUCCGAUAUAUAUACUCCGAACUAAGCCUAGAGUUUUGGUAAGAGCCCACAAGCAAUCGGACAAGGUCUAGGACUUCUAGUCCUCCUUUCCUUCUAUACUAAGUCUUGUUGUUUUACAACACUCC
rnacentral:lncRNA from 1 species